rnacentral:rRNA from 1 species
UAGCUAGUUGGUGAGGUAACGGCUCACCAAGGCGACGAUGCAUAGCCGACCUGAGAGGGUGAUCGGCCACAUUGGGACUGAGACACGGCCCAAACUCCUACGGGAGGCAGCAGUAGGGAAUCUUCGGCAAUGGACGAAAGUCUGACCGAGCAACGCCGCGUGAGUGAAGAAGGUUUUCGGAUCGUAAAACUCUGUUGUUAGAGAAGAACAAGGAUGAGAGUAACUGUUCAUCCCUUGACGGUAUCUAACCAGAAAGCCACGGCUAACUACGUGCCAGCAGCCGCGGUAAUACGUAGGUGGCAAGCGUUGUCCGGAUUUAUUGGGCGUAAAGCGAGCGCAGGCGGUUUCUUAAGUCUGAUGUGAAAGCCCCCGGCUCAACCGGGGAGGGUCAUUGGAAACUGGGAGACUUGAGUGCAGAAGAGGAGAGUGGAAUUCCAUGUGUAGCGGUGAAAUGCGUAGAUAUAUGGAGGAACACCAGUGGCGAAGGCGGCUCUCUGGUCUGUAACUGACGCUGAGGCUCGAAAGCGUGGGGAGCAAACAGGAUUAGAUACCCUGGUAGUCCACGCCGUAAACGAUGAGUGCUAAGUGUUGGAGGGUUUCCGCCCUUCAGUGCUGCAGCUAACGCAUUAAGCACUCCGCCUGGGGAGUACGACCGCAAGGUUGAAACUCAAAGGAAUUGACGGGGGCCCGCACAAGCGGUGGAGCAUGUGGUUUAAUUCGAAGCAACGCGAAGAACCUUACCAGGUCUUGACAUCCUUUGACCACUCUAGAGAUAGAGCUUCCCCUUCGGGGGCAAAGUGACAGGUGGUGCAUGGUUGUCGUCAGCUCGUGUCGUGAGAUGUUGGGUUAAGUCCCGCAACGAGCGCAACCCUUAUUGUUAGUUGCCAUCAUUUAGUUGGGCACUCUAGCAAGACUGCCGGUGACAAACCGGAGGAAGGUGGGGAUGACGUCAAAUCAUCAUGCCCCUUAUGACCUGGGCUACACACGUGCUACAAUGG